rnacentral:rRNA from 1 species
UACGGGAGGCAGCAGUGGGGAAUAUUGCACAAUGGGCGCAAGCCUGAUGCAGCCAUGCCGCGUGUAUGAAGAAGGCCUUCGGGUUGUAAAGUACUUUCAGUCGUGAGGAAGGUGUUAAGGUUAAUAACCUUAGCAAUUGACGUUAGCGACAGAAGAAGCACCGGCUAACUCCGUGCCAGCAGCCGCGGUAAUACGGAGGGUGCGAGCGUUAAUCGGAAUUACUGGGCGUAAAGGGCACGCAGGCGGUUAAUUAAGUUGGAUGUGAAAUCCCCGGGCUUAACCUGGGAAUGGCAUUCAAGACUGGUUAGCUAGAGUCUUGUAGAGGGGGUAGAAUUCCAUGUGUAGCGGUGAAAUGCGUAGAGAUGUGGAGGAAUACCGGUGGCGAAGGCGGCCCCUGGGACAAAGGCUGACGCUCAUGUGCGAAAGCGUGGGGAGCAAACAGGAUUAGAUACC